GGUAAAAUGGCUGAAGUUGAAGGCGAUAGAUUGUAAAUCUAUUUAUGGAGCAGGUCUCUUUUUAUCA
rnacentral:tRNA from 1 species